rnacentral:misc_RNA from 1 species
GUGAAGUGAUAUUUCGAAAGAUCAACCUUGUCACAACUCGAUUUCUGGGUUAGAUCAACGCUAGGACUUGGGUCAGCAUAAGGUCUCCGAAACUCAUAAUAAGCUUAACUAUUUCCAAUUUAUUCAUAAAACCCAUUAAGGUCGCCUAAUUUUAAGAAAACAAACGGACAGGGUUCGGUCAUAAAUUUGACUAUCUAACGGG